rnacentral:rRNA from 1 species
GAUUUUGGGCGUAAGGGCUCGCAGGCGGUUUCUUAAGUCUGAUGUGAAAGCCCCCGGCUCAACCGGGGAGGGUCAUUGGAAACUGGGGAACUUGAGUGCAGAAGAGGAGAGUGGAAUUCCACGUGUAGCGGUGAAAUGCGUAGAGAUGUGGAGGAACACCAGUGGCGAAGGCGACUCUCUGGUCUGUAACUGACGCUGAGGAGCGAAAGCGUGGGGAGCGAACAGGAUUAGAUACCCUGGUAGUCCACGCCGUAAACGAUGAGUGCUAAGUGUUAGGGGGUUUCCGCCCCUUAGUGCUGCAGCUAACGCAUUAAGCACUCCGCCUGGGGAGUACGGUCGCAAGACUGAAACUCAAAGGAAUUGACGGGGGCCCGCACAAGCGGUGGAGCAUGUGGUUUAAUUCGAAGCAACGCGAAGAACCUUACCAGGUCUUGACAUCCUCGGACGAUCCUAGAGAUAGGACGUCCCCUUCGGGGGCAGAGUGACAGGUGGUGCAUGGUUGUCGUCAGCUCGUGUCGUGAGAUGUUGGGUUAAGUCCCGCAACGAGCGCAACCCUUGAUCUUAGUUGCCAGCAUUCAGUUGGGCACUCUAAGGUGACUGCCGGUGACAAA